AAUAGAAUCAUGUAGUUAAGGGAACUCGGCAAAUUAGAUCUGUAACUUCGGAAAAAGGAUUGGCUCCAGCAAUCAGGUCGGUUGGCCUGUUGAAGGAUGCUUGUGCGGUUUCUUUCGUGGCUGGCAGACGCUCACGCUGAAGCUGGACUAGAGACAAGACUGCCUUAUGGACGCUUUCAGGUGUGUACUUUGUCUCGUACGCUGACCGACCAUCAAAGCGAUCAAACUGGAACUGGUACAGACUCGGGAAAUCCAACUGCAUAAUUGGAACCGAGGAGACAGGUGGUCCUUGCGGACGUUUACUGUCUCUGAUUUCUGCCCAAUGUUUGAAUGUUAAAUCGUAGUAAUUCGAGUAAGCGCGGGUAAAUUGCGGGAGUAACUGUGACUUUCUUAAGCUAGCAAAUGCCUCAUCAUCCCACUGUACGUAUGUACUGUCUAGCGAAACCACAGCGAAGGGAGCGGGUUUGGUAAAAAUAGCCAGGAAAGAAGAUUCUGUUGAGCUUGACUCUAGUUUGACAUUAUAAAGAGUCAUGAGAGGUGUAGCAUAGAUAGGAGACCUCGGUUGACAAUGAAAUACCUCCUCCUUCAUCGAUUCUUUACUUACCAUUAGGAAACUUAGUUUUCUAAUAUAAUCAAAAUUUGUUCGCACGGGAAAAAUGUUGAGUAGGGAUAUUAGAUAUUCGUUCGUUUAUGAGCCUGAAUUUAGGUAUUUGGUAUUCUACUGGGUUUUUUAAACAAAUAAACUCAGCAUUCAUUUUUUCGAGGAAGUUCUCCUAGCCUUGUUACACUUUGUUUCUUGAGUCGUUUGUAAAAACAAUAAUCAAGGAAAAAUAUGUCUUUUUCGAUUAUUUGGAACUUUGCUGCAGGAUAUUAAAAAAGGAAGUAUUCCAAAAGU
rnacentral:ncRNA from 1 species